rnacentral:rRNA from 1 species
AGAGUUUGAUCCUGGCUCAGAUUGAACGCUGGCGGAAUGCUUUACACAUGCAAGUCGAACGGUAGAGGGGGCAACCCCUUGAGAGUGGCGAACGGGUGAGUAAUAUAUCGGAACGUGCCCAGUCGUGGGGGAUAACGUAGCGAAAGUUACGCUAAUACCGCAUACGAUCUAAGGAUGAAAGCGGGGGAUCGCAAGACCUCGCGCGAUUGGAGCGGCCGAUAUCAGAUUAGGUAGUUGGUGGGGUAAAGGCUCACCAAGCCAACGAUCUGUAGCUGGUCUGAGAGGACGACCAGCCACACUGGAACUGAGACACGGUCCAGACUCCUACGGGAGGCAGCAGUGGGGAAUUUUGGACAAUGGACGCAAGUCUGAUCCAGCCAUUCCGCGUGCAGGAUGAAGGCCCUCGGGUUGUAAACUGCUUUUGUACGGAACGAAAAGGUUUCCAUUAAUACUGGGGGCUCAUGACGGUACCGUAAGAAUAAGCACCGGCUAACUACGUGCCAGCAGCCGCGGUAAUACGUAGGGUGCAAGCGUUAAUCGGAAUUACUGGGCGUAAAGCGUGCGCAGGCGGUUAUGUAAGACAGAGGUGAAAUCCCCGGGCUCAACCUGGGAACUGCCUUUGUGACUGCAUAGCUAGAGUACGGUAGAGGGGGAUGGAAUUCCGCGUGUAGCAGUGAAAUGCGUAGAUAUGCGGAGGAACACCGAUGGCGAAG